rnacentral:rRNA from 1 species
CCUACGGGGGGCAGCAGUCGAGAAUCAUUCACAAUGGGGGAAACCCUGAUGGUGCGACGCCGCGUGGGGGAAUGAAGGUCUUCGGAUUGUAAACCCCUGUCAUGUGGGAGCAAAUUAAAAAGAUAGUACCACAAGAGGAAGAGACGGCUAAAUCUGUGCCAGCAGCCGCGGUAAUAUAGAGGUCUCAAGCGUUGUUCGGAAUCACUGGGCGUAAAGCGUGCGUAGGCUGUUUCGUAAGUCGUGUGUGAAAGGUGCGGGCUCAACCCGCGGACGGCACAUGAUACUGGGAGACUAGAGUAAUGGAGGGGGAACCGGAAUUCUCGGUGUAGCAGUGAAAUGCGUAGAUAUCGAGAGGAACACUCGUGGCGAAGGCGGGUUCCUGGACAUUAACUGACGCUGAGGCACGAAGGCCAGGGGAGCGAAAGGGAUUAGAUACCCGGGUAGUC